ACAACUCAAUUGCCAUAUUGCUGUCAAACUAGCACACUUUUCAUUUCAAAAAUUUGAUUUCCUUUUGUUUUAUCUUUAUUCAUGUGUUUAUGUAACUAUAACAAGUGUUAAAGUUUUUUGGGGGUAUUUUUCAACGAGGCUAUAAUUGCGAGCGCCAGAUAGUGUCGUCGUAACUGGUAACCCUUGUUUUUGGCUCUUAUUAGGGAACGCCUACCCGCCAUAGGAGACCGAUUUCGAUGGCCAGUCAACAGUCAAUGGCGACGCACAUUAGAAGCGAUAACAUAUGCGAAUGGCGUUAUAGAAUUGCACAACAGCGAAGCCACGUUGGUAAGCGUCUUGGAAAAUAUAGUUAUAGGCGAUGGCUAUGCACAAAUGGGUUGAGUUCCUACGAGAUUUCCGUUCCAAACCUCAUGCUAACAGAUUACUUUUCUAGAGAGAAUAAGGUUAAACCCCAGUUGGUGGUUGUGAUUGUAUUUUGUCACAGCUGUGUACUGGAAAACAGUACCAUACAUUUUGUGAAAAUUGGAAGGACAUUCAAUUUUAUCAUUAAGGAGAUAUAGGCUGAUGCCUAGGUUGGCACAAUUGUUAGUCUGUGGUUGUAGUUUGUUGUAUUACUUGGCAUUACUGAAGCUGGUUAUUAGUAAAUAUAUUUAAGUUUUCAUGUAGCUUAAGUAGAACUUUGCUCUAUUGUAACAAAUUAGACAAAUCUUGGUAAACAAACAACUAGAAUGGUUUGUACAAAUCCACUGGCAAGGAUGGUUAUGACAAUGAGUCAUCAGGUGAGAAUACUUCCUGUAAAAGAAUUAUGGAAGUAAUCUGUAGCAUUACAAUUGUUACAAUCAAAUACAAUUGGGAAUGGAAUCUCAACAUCAAAUGGUUAUCAUGACAACAUAGAUAUCUGAGAAAAAUUACUGAAACAUUUAUAGCUCGUUCUACCAGAAGAGUUAAAUAGGGAUGUGUGUUUACUUGAACAAGUAAUGGGAUUGGAUGCAAAACAGGUGAAAGAGGUAGCAUUAACCUGUUAACAUAAAAAAUUUGGCCACAAAUUUGUAAAAAUAAAAAUGAAAUGUGAAAAGGCUCUUAAGAAACCAUUGUGUUGAAUACCACUGUGUUCUACACCAUAUUGCUUGCAGUUGGAAUAUUUUGGAAUAAAUUGCAUUUGUAUCUACCAAAUACUACACCAAAAAGCGCCUGAAUGCAACACCUGUACCGCUCCCAGCUACUACGCUAAAGCUUCAGAAUACUAAUUGGCUACAAACCCCUAUAGGGAAGCGCAGGUCCCAACUAAGUUAACGCAGCGGAUCCUCCAGUAUACGACCCUGCAACCUUUACUUGAGGUCUUCCAUUGGAUUAGAAUUUCUAUGGGAUUUGGGUUUUUAUAAGAAGCUAGACCAGAUCCCAAUCGUCUUGAUCCUUCUUCACUUUGAUCGCGAUUCAAGUCAACGCAUUCCAUCAUGCUAGCGAUCGUUUGUUUGACAAUUCUUUUCACAGAAUUUGAUGACUGGACUUCCUGCAAUUCCUUAAACCCAUUUGUCCCAAGAGACAAGGUGAUUGAAGCCGUCUUAACUGUUCCAAGAAUUCCCAUGGCCUGACGGCGAAACCACCCGCGACAACGUAGUGGGAAUGAUUAGAUUUACGAACGUUGUUAAGGCAAAUGAUUUCCGCACUCUUCUAGAACACGGAUACAGAGUUGUAUCAUUGACCAGAUUUAGAUGGGAAAUAUUAUGAAUAGUAAAACUACCGUUUUUCGCCCAAUUGUUAAUAUAAUUCUUUUGGGAACGUUUGGAUGUCGCCCAAAAACAAGCGGAAGACCAUUCGAGGCGUUAUGCCAUUUCUUGAAAUUGAACAUUCAGAAAAUGUGGUAUAUGUUCACAAAUUGUUAAGAUCUAUUCAGAAUGGUACCGUUAAGUAUGACUGUAGGAAAGGGUACGUAGGAUUCUAAAAGUGAAGAACAGCUCUGACGUCUUUGGUAAGCGGAAAAGGUACUACAAAGAGAAGCGUUACAUGGCGGUUUUAAGAAUGGACUCUUUCGUUUGCUUUGCCCAAUGAAUCUGUGCUAUGAACAAGCAGUGGCACUCAAUCUUUGUUCUUAAAACCCCGAGGUGAUCUUCACUUUUCAUGGGGAUUUAUUGAUUAUACUUGUUAAUUAACCAUGAAGAAUACCAAAAGAUGGAUCAGUGGAUGGUUAUAAAAGUAUAAAAUUGUAAUCCCUCGUGGCAUUUUCAUCCACGCAUGCGUGACAAUUCGUGAGCAGACGAACCAUAUUGAUCGUGAGCAACCAUACGCAGUCUGGCUGCAUCCAGCUAGAUACUACUAGAACCCGAAACAUUGUUUUGACAAGUGCUCUAUAUUUCGGUUGCAGGUUUUCACUAAAUAAGAAGACAGGCUUUCCUACAAGCUACGACAGUUUUACCUACAAAUGUUUCGUGCUGCAACUAGUAGCUGAUUUCCUAGGAUCCUAUGCCUAAAAUUGGAGUUCAGUUAUCAGAGAUUAGCAAAAUUCAAGCACUUAAAAGCAAGUGUAAACUCUAGAUGGCGUUGAAGUGCGUCUAAAAUGAAGAUUGCGAGUGAUAUGUAAUAGGUGUUUGUUACGUUACCUGUUUAGUUUUUCAAAGGAUAUUUCGUCAAAAAAUUUACGAUUGUUUUUGAAUGUGGUGGUGUUUCACCUUGUCAGGUAUGCCAGCAGCCUGCAUUCCUGCUAUCAAUGUAAAACAAGGAAUCCUGACACUUUAAGAAGGCCAGUAUUCCUUACAGGAAGAUCACCAUCCAGUUCAAUCAAUGACAGAGUCUUCAUCUAUUUUAUAUUGCCAGCCAACAGCCCUCUGCAUCCCAGAUAUCUAGAUUUCCAAGCUUCGCUGAUUAGCCAACCAUCAUCCAUACACUUCAGCUCUUCAUUGUGGUUUCUCUUCCUCUCUUCUUAAUCUGCCGAAAGCCAACAUGAAAUAAGGUUCAUCUUCAUUGGAUUACCAUGAAACUUGUCAUUGUUAAUCCUGCUGUUCUUCUCACCGUUACUUAGCCAGCUAACAUGGAUAGGCGUUAACACCAUCUCCAUUUUUUGAACUGCAAAUAUUCAUCUUCCUUUGGUACAACACUGCUGUUACGACAAUUUCGCUAGUUUCGCCCCCCAGUGGACCACACGCAACUACAUUUUUUUCGUCUUCCUGUCGUGGUUGUCUACGCCUUCACCUCAUCGCUGUCUUCGUUGACGGGUUCGCCUUCAUCUCCGUCUCGUCGUCGUCUUGGCCGUCUUUUUCUACGCCAUCACCUCGUUGCCGGCUUCGCCUUCGCUUUUCACGUAGAGUUCACCGUGGAUCGUCGCCCUGGUAUUGUUUUAUUUUGCAUUUUAAUGUUUAAGUUAACCCGUUGGCUGCCACCCCGUUUGCGUCCCAUUUUUUUUUUAGCUUGUAGGGACCGGCCGCAAUGGCCUUCGCCGCAAGGCGCCUUAGG